GAGUUUGAUCUGGCUCAGAUUGAACGCUGGCGGCAUGCUUUACACAUGCAAGUCGAACGGCAGCACGGGGGCAACCCUGGUGGCGAGUGGCGAACGGGUGAGUAAUAUAUCGGAACAUAUCCGGAAGUGGGGGAUAACGUAGCGAAAGUUACGCUAAUACCGCAUAUGCCCUGAGGGGGAAAGGGGGGGAUCGCAAGACCUCUCGCUUUCGGAGUGGCCGAUAUCGGAUUAGCUAGUUGGUGAGGUAAAGGCUCACCAAGGCGACGAUCCGUAGCUGGUCUGAGAGGACGACCAGCCACACUGGGACUGAGACACGGCCCAGACUCCUACGGGAGGCAGCAGUGGGGAAUUUUGGACAAUGGGCGCAAGCCUGAUCCAGCCAUGCCGCGUGAGUGAAGAAGGCCUUCGGGUUGUAAAGCUCUUUCAGCCGGAAAGAAAUUGCUUCUAUUAAUACUAGGAGUAGAUGACGGUACCGGUAGAAGAAGCACCGGCUAACUACGUGCCAGCAGCCGCGGUAAUAC
rnacentral:rRNA from 1 species